GACAGAGGAUGCAAGCGUUAUCCGGAAUGAUUGGGCGUAAAGCGUCUGUAGGUGGCUUUUUAAGUCUGCCGUCAAAUCCCAGGGCUUAACCCUGGACAGGCGGUGGAAACUACCAAGCUGGAGUACGGUAGGGGCUAGAGGGAAUUCCGGUGGAGCGGUGAAAUGCGUAGAUAUCGAGAGGAACACCUGCGGCGAAGGCGGUUGCUGGCCGACACUGACGCUGAUGCGCGAAAGCCAGGGAGCGAACGGG
rnacentral:rRNA from 1 species